GGAACGAGUUAUCUGAACCUUCGGGGGACGAUAACGGCGUCGAGCGGCGGACGGGUGAGUAAUGCCUAGGAAAUUGCCCUGAUGUGGGGGAUAACCAUUGGAAACGAUGGCUAAUACCGCAUAAUGCCUACGGGCCAAAGAGGGGGACCUUCGGGCCUCUCGCGUCAGGAUAUGCCUAGGUGGGAUUAGCUAGUUGGUGAGGUAAUGGCUCACCAAGGCGACGAUCCCUAGCUGGUCUGAGAGGAUGAUCAGCCACACUGGAACUGAGACACGGUCCAGACUCCUACGGGAGGCAGCAGUGGGGAAUAUUGCACAAUGGGCGCAAGCCUGAUGCAGCCAUGCCGCGUGUGUGAAGAAGGCCUUCGGGUUGUAAAGCACUUUCAGUCGUGAGGAAGGUGGUGUAGUUAAUAGCUGCAUUAUUUGACGUUAGCGACAGAAGAAGCACCGGCUAACUCCGUGCCAGCAGCCGCGGUAAUACGGAGGGUGCGAGCGUUAAUCGGAAUUACUGGGCGUAAAGCGCAUGCAGGUGGUUUGUUAAGUCAGAUGUGAAAGCCCGGGGCUCAACCUCGGAAUAGCAUUUGAAACUGGCAGACUAGAGUACUGUAGAGGGGGGUAGAAUUUCAGGUGUAGCGGUGAAAUGCGUAGAGAUCUGAAGGAAUACCGGUGGCGAAGGCGGCCCCCUGGACAGAUAC
rnacentral:rRNA from 1 species